rnacentral:pre_miRNA from 1 species
UCUCCCAACCCUUGUACCAGUGUGGUAACUGGAAGUCCUGGUACAGAGGUUGGCUGACA